GUUAUUUUGGCAGAUUAGUGCAUUAAAUUUAGAAUUUAAUCAUGUAUAUUAUACAAAUAAUA
rnacentral:tRNA from 1 species